GCAAGCAAUUGUGAGCCACAAGGGGAAUGCUGGGAACCAAAUUUGGAACCUUUGCAAGAGGAAUGAAAUUGGAGAUGGCAGCCGGGCGUUGGUGGCGCAUACCUUUAAUCCCAGCACUCGGGAGGCAGAGGCAGGCGGAUCUCUGUGAGUUCGAGGCCAGCCUGGUCUCCAGAGAAUUGGAGAUGGCAGCGAAAAGUUCAUGAUCUGCACCAGCCCAACAGACAAAUGAAAAUGAAAAUCAAGGAUAUGAGCUAGGAUUUGUUUGUCUUUGUAGGUCUGGAAUAUUUUGCUUCGUGUGAUAACUUCCAGUAACACUCAUUUUUCUGCAACUGUCAUAAUUUAGUUUUUUUUUCCUUUAAACAGA
rnacentral:lncRNA from 1 species